rnacentral:rRNA from 1 species
AUGGGGACGGUGAGGCAACUCGAAGAGCGGCGGCACACGCAGUGCGGGGGAGGCAGAGAUGACCACAGCUGGUGUGCAGGAGCCGAGCCGUCGGAAGUAGAGUCAAGCAGCUGGAGAGGCAGGCAAAUCAAACCCGAUGCUGCCGGCAACGUUGUCUACGCUGCUCUGAAGAUCAGCUUGGCCCUGAAGAAAUUAUCUGAGUAUGGUGUGGUUAAGCAUGAAGAUCUGUUCAUCGCCUCCAAGCUAUGGUUCUGUGAUCAUGCACCUGAAGACGUGCCAGAGGCAAUUGUCGCCACCCUUGAAGAGCUUUUACAGCAACUUCUGUGUUGA